ACGGAAUGCCACCAAUUCUCUAGCUCUUGAUGUGUGUAUAUGGAGAAGAUCUGGGUUCAGAGAGUCCUGUUCUGAAGUUUUCAUGAGCCAACUAAAAGACUUAAACUAUGAAGAUUUUUGAGAGAAGCCAACUUUGAACUCUUAAACAUUCAGUUGCCUCGGUUGGGCAAUCCACAAACAGAAAUGAGAAGAUGGAGACAUGUUGGAUUCUUUUAUGGAUCCAAAUUUUAUGGAUCCAAGGGUAGCCCAAGGGAACUUGAACAAAGGACAAUAGCUCCUUGAGAUUUUACUUCCUAGAAUCUGUGAUUCACAAUACCACCUCUAGGUGGCAGGAAUGUACUAUGAAGCUAUGAAGUCACUUGCUUGUCAAACUUAUUCUCGUUUUAAGAGCACGAAAGCAAUAAGGCUAAAGACAGAUGCAAAGGAACAUUUUUUAUUGAUUAGUUCUCUGGCUCGACAACUCAGUGGCAUUCUCUCCUGAGCUGGAACAGGCUGGAGGGAGGCAAAGAAUACCAAUAACAUUAUAGAACAGGCAGCAAACAACAUUUGCAUGGAAAUCAAUAAAGCUAACAUUACCUUCGGGUGCAUCAAAA